UUUGCCCAAAAAACAAUAAUAAUAAAGAAGGGGGAAAGUUGCGAGUAUAGAAGGCAGAGCGUUGUUCUGAAAACUCGCUCAUCGGACUCAUCAGACUCAUCCCCCACAUUCAUUCCACGUCAACCCAGUUCAAAUCCAAUUCGAUUCACCAGCCCCCAAACCCUAAUUCCCAAUUUAUGAGCCAUUGCAAAUUAGGAAAGCUCGAAAUGGCUUUGACCCUCACGCAUUUAUACUCUCUGCCUCCUUCACUGUCUUUGCUUCUUGGCUUCAAUGGUUGCCAAAGCUUCGUGCUUUUUCUGCAAGGCCGAGAGUGAUCAGUUCGUUAAUGGCUGGGAGCUCAAGGAUGGGUCUUUCGCCCAGCUCUGCAAGAAAUGCCGUUGUUCAUCUGUUUGUGGAAACAAAUCCAACGCCUAUAGAAACAAAUCAGAAAACAAACCAGUUAUACUUUGAUUUCAAGUUUUCACCAAGCAAGUGAGCUACUACUCUGUACUUGAGUUUGAUAUGUGACAUCAUUGCUUCUAAUAAGAACAAUCUCCAAGGGACAUUGAAACAGGUCCAACGCCUGUAGAUACAACUCUGAAAGCAGACCAGAGUUGUGACAUGUUCUUUCAUUGCUUCAAAUGGGAACAAUCUCCGAUGGUUAUGGAAACAAUUCUAAUGCCUAUAGAAACAAAUCAGAAAACAAACCAGGAACAAUCUCUAAGGGACUUUGAAACAGGUCCAAUGCCGGUAGAGAUACAAGUCUGAAAACAGACCAGGAACAAACUCCAAAGGAUAUGGGCGUGCACCUAGUCUUCUAGUCUUUUUUGUCUAGGCUUGCCAUUUUGGCUUGCCUUAAGCUUGUGAGCGACCAAUGUAUAAUGAGUGACCUAUCACUAUGUACCAUCGUGGUACCACCACAACUUCUUGACUGUCUUUAGAUGGCAGCGGAAGGGUAUGUAAUGGCUAUUCUGGCUUCGUAUCAAUGAUAUGUCUAAGACGCAUUUUCAAAAAAAAAACUCCAAAGGAUAUGGAGACAAGUCCAACGCCUGUAGAAACAAGUCAGAAAUCAGACGGGGGACAAUCUCCAAUGGAUAUGGAAACAGGUCCAACACCUGUAGAAACAAGUCUGAAAACAGACCAGUUACAGUUUGGUUCCAAGUUUUUACCAAACAAGACAAGUAAGCUACUACUCUGUAAUUGGCAGCUUGUGAUAAGUGUGCCAUUGCUUCUAAUAGGAAGAAUAUCAAAGGGAUUGGAAACAGGUCCAACACCAGAAGAAACAAAUCAGAAAGCAGACCAGGAACAGUGUCCGAGCGAUAUGGAAACAAGUCUGAAAACAGACCAGAAGGAUUCAGAGCCUUCGAGACCCGGCGACCCGUAUGGAAGACCCGACCGGAACUUCCGCUUCCGGCGACGAAACGACGGCGGACCACCCGCGUUUGGCUCGUCUCCUCAGCGCUGACAUGCCUAUGAUGGUGGAUCGUGCAGGGAGAUUCGAAGCUCGAAAGGUUUGUACUUUCCAGCGAUGUUUCUGCAAUUUCCGGUGAUCUUCGGGGCUAUAUAAGGUAGGAAGACUAAUCCUCUCUUCAUGAUCUCCACGCUAGUGUACUCAGUUUUUGAAUUCGAUCAAGUUUGGAUUAAAUCGCGUCUUGGUUGGUUUCGGUCUCGUUGCGGUUAUCGGCACCGGCGGUUGUUCUAGCUCUUCUGGGUUCAUUUUCCGUCUUGCCUGUACCUGCAGACGUGUCAACCUCAACUAGAGCUGAGUUUUCGAAGUUGCUGGGUUGGUGUACAUCUGCUCCUUCGUUUUUCACCGUCGAAAUUCCGGGAAGUACCGUGUUCUGAAAUUGAGCCUAGAAAUGAUGAAGUGAACGGUACCCAGAGUUCGGAAUUACCUCUGCUCGUUGUGCACAGAGCAAGUUGCUAAUGGGUACUUUGCUUUUAGUCAAAUUGAUGAAGUUGGAUUCUGAUCGGGUUCUGUUAAUUGUUUGUCAAAGGUAAAUUUGGAAUUCCGAAACAGAAAUGUUCUUCUGUCAAAUUUUGUUUGUGACUUUCGAUGAUGGUUUGUGUUUGAAAUUGAGAUUAUCUCUGCUUGGUAUUGUUGUUAGAAUGGAAAUAUGGAAAUUGAAUGGAUGUUAUGAUAUUUGGAACAUACUGUGAUGUUUGCUGGGAUUGAAGUCAUUGAACUAUAGAUUGAUUCCUAGAUGGAAAAUUGAGUGAAUACCCCAAAUGUGAAAGUGAAAUUAGCGUGUGCCAUGUUGGAUUUCGGUUAGAACUUGAUUCCUGUUGUGAAAAGUGUGAUUAGUGAAAGGUUGUUUAAAUCAAAAUUGGGUGUUCAUUGUAAUUUGAGGGAAUUACUAUGCAACGAGAUUACUAAGGAAAAUUUAUUGUUAAAAAAGCAUGGGAGUUGGUCGGUAUUCCAAUUUUAAGUGAAAUGUUCAGUAGUUGGGCUAAUUAUCGAAUUUGUCAAGCUUAGGAGGGUGUAUUGUAUUUGGAUUUGUACAGACUUUUUUCAAAUGACAGACUUUUUGAAAAGUUCACAGAUUC